rnacentral:lncRNA from 1 species
UGCAAAGCUAUUCUCUCAACAUGGUGCCAAAGUCCUCAUCGCUGACAUUCAAGAUGAAAAAGGUCACCUCAUUUGCAGGGACCUCGGCCCCUCUUCUGCUUCCUUCAUCCACUGUGAUGUCACUAAAGAACUGGAUGUGAGCAAUGCCAUCGACGAGGCCGUUGCUAAGCAUGGAAAGCUUGAUAUCAUGUUCAACAAUGCUGGUAUUUUAGGACCCAAAAUAAUUAAUAUAUUGGACAACGAUGCCGCAGAAUUUGAGAAUACAAUGCGUG